CCGCGUGUUGUGAAGAAAGGUCUUAGGAUUGUAAAGCACUUUCGGCGGGGACGAUGAUGACGGUUACCCGCAGAAGAAGACCCGGCUAACUUCGUGC
rnacentral:rRNA from 1 species